GCUAAAUACUCCCUAGUGAUCGAUAGUGAACCAGUACCGUGAGGGAAAGGUGAAAAGCACCCCGGAAGGGGAGUGAAAGAGAUCCUGAAACCGUGUGCCUACAAAUAGUCAGAGCCCGUUAACGGGUGAUGGCGUGCCUUUUGUAGAAUGAACCGGCGAGUUACGAUCCCGUGCGAGGUUAAGCUGAAGAGGCGGAGCCGCAGCGAAAGCGAGUCUGAAUAGGGCGUUUAGUACGUGGUCGUAGACCCGAAACCAGGUGAUCUACCCAUGUCCAGGGUGAAGUUCAGGUAACACUGAAUGGAGGCCCGAACCCACGCACGUUGAAAAGUGCGGGGAUGAGGUGUGGGUAGCGGAGAAAUUCCAAUCGAACCUGGAGAUAGCUGGUUCUCCCCGAAAUAGCUUUAGGGCUAGCCUUAAGUGUAAGAGUCUUGGAGGUAGAGCACUGAUUGGACUAGGGGUCCUCAUCGGAUUACCGAAUUCAGUCAAACUCCGAAUGCCAAUGACUUAUCCUUAGGAGUCAGACUGCGAGUGAUAAGAUCCGUAGUCAAAAGGGAAACAGCCCAGACCGCCAGCUAAGGUCCCAAAGUGUGUAUUAAGUGGAAAAGGAUGUGGAGUUGCUUAGACAACUAGGAUGUUGGCUUAGAAGCAGCCACCAUUUAAAGAGUGCGUAAUAGCUCACUAGUCGAGUGACUCUGCGCCGAAAAUGUACCGGGGCUAAAUACACCACCGAAGCUGCGGAUUGAUACCAAUGGUAUCAGUGGUAGGGGAGCGUUCUAAGGACAGUGAAGUCAGACCGGAAGGACUGGUGGAGUGCUUAGAAGUGAGAAUGCCGGUAUGAGUAGCGAAAGACGGGUGAGAAUCCCGUCCACCGAAUGCCUAAGGUUUCCUGAGGAAGGCUCGUCCGCUCAGGGUUAGUCAGGACCUAAGCCGAGGCCGACAGGCGUAGGCGAUGGACAACAGGUUGAUAUUCCUGUACCACCUCUUUAUCGUUUGAGCAAUGGAGGGACGCAGAAGGAUAGAAGAAGCGUGCGAUUGGUUGUGCACGUCCAAGCAGUUAGGCUGAUAAGUAGGCAAAUCCGCUUAUCGUGAAGGCUGAGCUGUGAUGGGGAAGCUCCUUAUGGAGCGAAGUCUUUGAUUCCCCGCUGCCAAGAAAAGCUUCUAGCGAGAUAAAAGGUGCCUGUACCGCAAACCGACACAGGUAGGCGAGGAGAGAAUCCUAAGGUGUGCGAGAGAACUCUGGUUAAGGAACUCGGCAAAAUGACCCCGUAACUUCGGGAGAAGGGGUGCUUUCUUAACGGAAAGCCGCAGUGAAUAGGCCCAAGCGACUGUUUAGCAAAAACACAGCUCUCUGCGAAGCCGUAAGGCGAAGUAUAGGGGGUGACACCUGCCCGGUGCUGGAAGGUUAAGGAGAGGGGUUAGCGUAAGCGAAGCUCUGAACUGAAGCCCCAGUAAACGGCGGCCGUAACUAUAACGGUCCUAAGGUAGCGAAA
rnacentral:rRNA from 1 species